rnacentral:lncRNA from 1 species
ACUGUCUAUUAGCUAGCCGUUAGAAUAUAUAUAUAUAUAUAUAUAUAUAUAACUACUUUUUCAAUGAAUCUGCUGGAAAUGCUUGAGCGCUUUAGGCUGAAAUACUAUUAAUAGUAAAACGCUUUUUUUGCUAUCAAAUUUUUAACCCUUGGAUGAAAAAUUGUAAGGUCAGGAUGAUAUUAGUUGGUUAGAGUUGAGUGGUCUCCCUAGGGUUGAGUGGUCUCCACUGGAUUACAGUAUUUAAUCCAAUGGUUAGAAAUAAUGAAAAGGGUUGAUCCAAAGGCUAAAAAAUUAGUAGCAAUAAUAAAAUUUUGCUACUAAUAGUAGCCCAGUCCAACUCUCUCUCUCUCUU